rnacentral:ncRNA from 2 species
UAUGUAACAUGGUCCACUAA